AUCGUAACAAGGUUUUGUCAAGAAAAGAUCCUUCUUUGAAGCCUUCCACACAGCGACUCUAACCGUGUGUGCAGUCUAGAAAUAGGCGACGUUACCCCUGUGCUGGAACACUACUUAACGGUGGUGGAUCAGCAGCCAGUUUGUCCUGGUCCACAGAUUAGGUGGUGGCGGUCCCCGGGGAUGCCCGUGGGAUGAAGAUAUAAUCGGUCCCCAUCGCUGUCGAUGGUGGAGCCACGUUCCGUAGGUGAACCUGCGGAAGGAUCAUUAUCGAGUUAGGGUCCUCCGGGCCCCAUCUCCAACCCUUGUCUAUCUCACCAUGUUGCUUUGGCGGGCCCGUCUUUCCACCGGACCGCCGGAGGGUCUGCCCUCUGGCCCGCGCCCGUCAGUAGCCCCCAUAAAUUCGUCUAACAGUGAUGUCUAAGUUUGAAAAUAAUAACUAAAACUUUCAACAACGGAUCUCUUGGUUCUGGCAUCGAUGAAGAACGCAGCGAAAUGCGAUAAGUAAUGCGAAUUGCAGAAUUCCGUGAGUCAUCGAAUCUUUGAACGCACAUUGCGCCCUUUGGUAUUCCGAGGGGCAUGCCUGUUCGAGCGUCAUUAUCAACCCUCAAGCCCGGCUUGCUGUUGGGUCCCACCGUUUUGAAAAAAAGGUGGACCCGAAAGAGAAUGGCAGAGCCUGCGUGGACCCUGGAUGCAAUGAGCUUUUAAGCACGCUUCCGGACGGUCCUCCGGCUUGGUCUUAACCAAAUCUCCUCAGAUUGACCUCGGAUCAGGUAGGGAUACCCGCUGAACUUAAGCAUAUCAAUAAGCGGAGGAAAAGAAACCAACAGGGAUUGCCUCAGUAACGG
rnacentral:rRNA from 1 species